rnacentral:rRNA from 1 species
UUGACGGGGGCCCGCACAAGCGGUGGAUGAUGUGGAUUAAUUCGAUGCAACGCGAAAAACCUUACCUACCCUUGACAUGCCAGGAACUUUCCAGAGAUGGAUUGGUGCCCGAAAGGGAGCCUGGACACAGGUGCUGCAUGGCUGUCGUCAGCUCGUGUCGUGAGAUGUUGGGUUAAGUCCCGCAACGAGCGCAACCCUUGUCAUUAAUUGCCAUCAUUUAGUUGGGCACUUUAAUGAGACUGCCGGUGACAAACCGGAGGAAGGUGGGGAUGACGUCAAGUCCUCAUGGCCCUUAUGGGUAGGGCUUCACACGUCAUACAAUGGUCGGUACAGAGGGUUGCCAAGCCGCGAGGUGGAGCCAAUCCCAGAAAGCCGAUCGUAGUCCGGAUCGCAGUCUGCAACUCGACUGCGUGAAGUCGGAAUCGCUAGUAAUCGCGGAUCAGCAUGUCGCGGUGAAUACGUUCCCGGGUCUUGUACACACCGCCCGUCACACCAUGGGAGUGGGUUCUACCAGAAGUAGUUAGCCUAACCGUAAGGAGGGCGAUUACCACGGUAGGAUUCAUGACUGGGGUGAAGUCGUAACAAG